rnacentral:lncRNA from 1 species
AUUUAGUCACAGUUCCAUAUCUCUUCUUUGAACUGUUUAUCUGGGUAUAUGCCCAAGAGAAGAGUCAAUAAAUAGAACUUAAAAAUAAAUGCUUAAUGCUAGAAACUGCACUUUAACUUGCCACACACUGUAAGGUCAUUUGCAACUUAAAAACAACAUUCCCUUAAACAAAACUUGUCCACUUAAGAUGAAGUUAUCUGUUGCACUUGUCCAGUGAGUAAACCAAUCCGAGUAAACCAAUCCAAGUAACCUUCACACAUCAUAUGAUGAAGUGCACAAACUUAAAAGUCCUCAUCACCCUAGUUUCUUUUGUAUUACAGUUCUCCGCGCAUGUACUUUGGCUUCAACUGUUCAAUCCUCUUAAUGUAAUCCCCCUUCUCUAAGCAGUCGUCGCAAGUCUCAUCCCAAUCAUUAAGAAUUUUCUUCAGGUCUCGAACCUUCAAUUUCUUCAAGUCCACAUUGUUCAAGUCAAUUUGCUUCUCAUAUCUAAGCUCGCAAAUCUGUGCAUCCUUCUUCUUUAGCUUCUCACAAACUUUUUCCACGGGCAUACCCCAUGAUAAGGGCUUGGACAUCUCACCAAGGAUUCCAGUUGCAGAUUCUUCUAGCCCACCAAGGUAAUAACAAAAUCUAUUUUCUUUACCUUUGGAAGUUGA